AACUGAACUGAAGUCUUCGCGAUUCCUUCGCGAGCAAAUGCGAAUGUUUAUGGGUAAACAUUUGGCCCGCACACAGACGGACACAACUCGACGUAUAUAGGCAAUACAUUUAUGGAUUCUCGUAAGCUUGUACAAAUAAGUUAUGCCCCAUGGAGUGCCCAACACUUAGCAUGCUGGGGGUGCUCACGGAUGGUAUCAAUACACCCAAAUGGCCGCAUAUUUAUUUAGCUUCUGACGGCAAGACAAAUGCGACUGCUCGUGUUAACAUUGUGCAAAGCUCAUUAAGGGGAAAUUGAUAAGGUACACAGAUACACACAUACCUACAAAGGUGGGUGAGGUAGGCAAUGGAUCCUUUAAUCGUCUAAGUACGCGACGUACCAUUAAUCCCUUAGAAACUGUCAAGGAUACGCAAGUACUUAUCUUUUCAAUGAACUUAAGUCUAGUUAUUAGCUGACAUAUUUCUUUAGUUUCAACACAGACAUAAAUGUCAUUUCUAUAUCUUCCUUUUGUAUAAUAUAAAAAUCUCCCCUAUCCCAAGUACUAUUUAUUUAUUUUAAUAUAAAUAUAUGAAUUUUGUCAUUUUCCAAUCGGAAUACGCAGGAACAAAGCAUAAAUCUAUUGUUAAAGAAAAGACUUAGAAAUCAAAAACAUAGUGGUGAUAGGAUUAAAUGAUUAUAUAUAUUUUUAUUUAUUUUAUUUUAUUGUUUAUCAGUUCGUUUCUAAUGUGUGCUUGAGAGACAUAUAUUUAAUAUUUUUAAAUUAUAUAUGAAAGGUUAUUAUAUAAAUAUAAAUCGCCGAUAAUCAAUUUAAAGCUUAACUAAGAUGUUCUACUUCAAACACGUUCGAAGUCUUCCUGUCGUUCCUACUAGAAAUGGAACAGGUCUAAGUCCUGUUCACACAGGCAGCUGCUUCAUCUGACAAAAAUUAAAAAUGCAUUUCAUAAAUUGUUUAUGAUAUAAUUUAA